UACGGAGGUUGCGAGCGUUGUUCGGAAUAACUGGGCGUAAAGGGAGCGCAGGCGGUUGGGCAAGUCCAAAGUGAAAGCCCGGGGCUCAACUCCGGAAGUGCUUUGGAUACUGCCUUACUCGAGUUCGUGAGAGGAAAGCGGAAUUCCAGGUGUAGCGGUGAAAUGCGUAGAUAUCUGGAGGAACACCGGUGGCGAAAGCGGCUUUCUGGCACGAUACUGACGCUGAGGCUCGAAAGCGUGGGGAGCAAACAGG
rnacentral:rRNA from 1 species